rnacentral:rRNA from 1 species
UACGUAGGGGGCAAGCGUUGUCCGGAUUUAUUGGGCGUAAAGAGCGUGUAGGCGGCCAAGCAGGUCCGCUGUGAAAACUCGAGGCUCAACCUCGAGACGUCGGUGGAAACCGUUUGGCUAGAGUCCGGAAGAGGAGAGUGGAAUUCCCGGUGUAGCGGUGAAAUGCGCAGAUAUCGGGAAGAACACCCGUGGCGAAGGCGACUUUCUGGCUGCCAACUGACACUGAGACGCGAAAGCUAGGGGAGCGAACGGG